rnacentral:rRNA from 1 species
CCUACGGGAGGCAGCAGUGGGGAAUUUUGCGCAAUGGGCGAAAGCCUGACGCAGCAACGCCGCGUGAGUGAUGAAGGCCUUCGGGUCGUAAAGCUCUGUCGGGAGGGAAGAAAUGGUCGAGGGUUAAUACCUCUUGGUCUUGACGGUACCUCCGAAGGAAGCACCGGCUAACUCCGUGCCAGCAGCCGCGGUAAUACGGAGGGUGCAAGCGUUGUUCGGAAUUAUUGGGCGUAAAGCGCGUGUAGGCGGUCUUUUAAGUCUGAUGUGAAAGCCCCGGGCUCAACAUGGGAAGUGCAUUGGAAACUGGGAGACUUGAGUACGGGAGAGGGUAGUGGAAUUCCUAGUGUAGGAGUGAAAUCCGUAGAUAUUAGGAGGAACACCGGUGGCGAAGGCGGCUGCCUGGACCGAUACUGACGCUGAGACGCGAAAGCGUGGGGAGCAAACAGGAUUAGAUACCCCUGUA